UACCUACAGCUCUUAGGAUGCUGUUGUGGGGAAAUACAAGUAGCAGCUGGAAGGAGCAUGUAGAAGUGAGCUGGCAGAGUGACCUGAGACAGACCUGAGAUCAGGAUUUCAGCACGGUGUUGUCUUCACUGCUGUCUCUCGCACAAUCCCGCCUGCACUGCGCUGAGGAACACCCCUACUGCUGCUGGCAUGUCCCGCACUUCCCUGCUCCUCCUCCUGCGUGUUCACUGGCCGUGCCGGAGAAAAAAGGCUGCAGAAGCUGUAGCCGCCCAGAACCGGCAGGUUCCUCCAUCCCGCCGGAAACACUGCCAGCCGCCCAGAGCCGGCGGGUUCCUCCAAGGUUGCUGGUUUGAAUCUCUCCGUGAUGUCACCGUUGGGCCCCUGAGAAGGCCAUUAACCCCCAAGGACUGUCAGGAAACUGAUUUUUCAAAAAAAGUACAUUGCUUUGGAUGGAAGCGUCCUCUGAAUAACUGUAAAGUCGUUAAAGGGGUGUGGUACACAGGAAGAUCUGCAGUGAGAAUAGCUGCACUUACCUCAGAAUCACGUUCACACCACCGGCUCUUUAAUAUUCCCUUCCUCACCGCCGCCUUAUCUGGCCAGUGCAGCUGCUGCCAUUGUUCCAAGCAAUGGGCUUGUGUGCCAGUGUGGGAAUACCCCCCCCCACCCCCCUCCAAUCACAAACUACACAAUUUCACACAUGUAGGGACUUUGCCCCAAGAAGCGGUUUGUUUAAAUCAAAUACAAACCAGACAAAGUGCAUGAAUUCUGACAAAUGCCAUAAAAUGCAUGAAAACAGCAUUUGAUUGAAAGUUACCAGUGUGAUGAAUCAAUAUUCAUCCUUGAAGCCAAAAAUUUCAGAUAAAGCACAGACUGGUUCCACAUGGUAAAACAUAAUUUUAAGGGAAACUCUAAUGAACAAAGUAGAUUUAGGCAACAGAUCUAUUGGACAAUUAGCACAGACAGUGAAUAUGUUUCAGAUGUUAUAUACGUAGUUUACGUUUUACGGGAAUUGAAUACUAUUUUCCCUCAUAUACACGGACCUGAGAAAGAGUGUAUUCAGGGAGACUGACGCUCUGAUGUCUUUGUAAAGCCACAUCUACAAGUCAGAGCAGCCCUGGGCUGUGACCUCGCUAAACACGGUGCCCAGCCCAAACCGAACUGAUCGAAAACAUGCCUGUAUAACCCUUAAACAGGAUAUACAAAAUAUUACUUAGCUGGUUCUUUAUAGUCAUCUCGGAAAAUAUAUAGUAGUAGUAAUAAUAAUAAUAAUCAUCAU